UUUUUCCUACGGGAGGCAGCAGUGGGGGAUAUUGCACAAUGGGGGGAACCCUGAUGCAGCGACGCCGCGUGGGCGAAGAAGUAUUUCGGUACGUAAAGCCCUAUCAGCAGGGAAGAAGAAAUGACGGUACCUGAGUAAGAAGCACCGGCUAAAUACGUGCCAGCAGCCGCGGUAAUACGUAUGGUGCAAGCGUUAUCCGGAUUUACUGGGUGUAAAGGGAGCGCAGGCGGCACGGCAAGCCUGAUGUGAAAGCCCGCGGCCCAACCGCGGGACUGCAUUGGGAACUACCGGGCUGCAGUGCCGGG
rnacentral:rRNA from 1 species